GACGAACGCUGGCGGCGUGCUUAACACAUGCAAGUCGAACGGAAAGGCCCUGCUUUUGUGGGGUGCUCGAGUGGCGAACGGGUGAGUAACACGUGAGUAACCUGCCCUUGACUUUGGGAUAACUUCAGGAAACUGGGGCUAAUACCGGAUAGGAGCUCCUGCUGCAUGGUGGGGGUUGGAAAGUUUCGGCGGUUGGGGAUGGACUCGCGGCUUAUCAGCUUGUUGGUGGGGUAGUGGCUUACCAAGGCUUUGACGGGUAGCCGGCCUGAGAGGGUGACCGGCCACAUUGGGACUGAGAUACGGCCCAGACUCCUACGGGAGGCAGCAGUGGGGAAUAUUGCACAAUGGGCGGAAGCCUGAUGCAGCAACGCCGCGUGCGGGAUGACGGCCUUCGGGUUGUAAACCGCUUUCGCCUGUGACGAAGCGUGAGUGACGGUAAUGGGUAAAGAAGCACCGGCUAACUACGUGCCAGCAGCCGCGGUGAUACGUAGGGUGCGAGCGUUGUCCGGAUUUAUUGGGCGUAAAGGGCUCGUAGGUGGUUGAUCGCGUCGGAAGUGUAAUCUUGGGGCUUAACCCUGAGCGUGCUUUCGAUACGGGUUGACUUGAGGAAGGUAGGGGAGAAUGGAAUUCCUGGUGGAGCGGUGGAAUGCGCAGAUAUCAGAGGAACACCAGUGGCGAAGGCGGUUCUCUGGGCCUUUCCUGACGCUGAGGAGCGAAAGCGUGGGGAGCGAACAGGCUUAGAUACCCUGGUAGUCCACGCUGUAAACGGUGGGUACUAGGUGUGGGGUCCAUUCCACGGGUUCCGUGCCGUAGCUAACGCUUUAAGUACCCCGCCUGGGGAGUACGGCCGCAAGGCUAAAACUCAAAGGAAUUGACGGGGCCCCGCACAAGCGGCGGAGCAUGCGGAUUAAUUCGAUGCAACGCGUAGAACCUUACCUGGGUUUGACAUGGAUCGGGAGUGCUCAGAGAUGGGUGUGCCUCUUUUGGGGUCGGUUCACAGGUGGUGCAUGCCUGUCGUCAGCUCGUGUCGUGAGAUGUUGGGUUAAGUCCCGCAACGAGCGCAACCCUUGUUCACUGUUGCCAGCACGUUAUGGUGGGGACUCAGUGGAGACCGCCGGGGUCAACUCGGAGGAAGGUGGGGAUGACGUCAAGUCCUCAUGCCCCUUAUGUCCAGGGCUUCACGCAUGCUACAAUGGCUGGUACAGAGAGUGGCGAGCCUGUGAGGGUGAGCGAAUCUCGGAAAGCCGGUCUCAGUUCGGAUUGGGGUCUGCAACUCGACCUCAUGAAGUCGGAGUCGCUAGUAAUCGCAGAUCAGCAACGCUGCGGUGAAUACGUUCCCGGG
rnacentral:rRNA from 1 species